GGGGAUAUAGAUCAGUAGUAGAAUGAAUUCAACUGUAGAUUGAGAGGUCUCCGGUUCAAACCCGGGAGUUCCCU